rnacentral:tRNA from 1 species
GGGAGUUAGAGUAAAAUCUGGCUCCCUGUCUUGUUUUUAAGCAAGAAAUAGAGCGUCCCGCUUAAGGGCGGGAAGGUCACUGGUUCGAUUCCAGUACGCCCCA